UACGUAGGUGGCAAGCGUUGUCCGGAAUUAUUGGGCGUAAAGCGCGCGUAGGUGGUUUCUUAAGUCUGAUGUGAAAGCCCACGGCUCAACCGUGGAGGGUCAUUGGAAACUGGGGAACUUGAGUGCAGAAGAGGAGAGUGGAAUUCCAAGUGUAGCGGUGAAAUGCGUAGAGAUUUGGAGGAACACCAGUGGCGAAGGCGACUUUCUGGUCUGUAACUGACACUGAGGCGCGAAAGCGUGGGGAGCGAACAGG
rnacentral:rRNA from 1 species